rnacentral:lncRNA from 1 species
GCUACAUCAAAAUCGAUCAUUGAUCGAAUGGUUCGACAUACCUACUCUCAAAUCACGCUACCUCACCACUAUCCACGUGAAUGGUGCAGAGCCAAUAACAUUUGGACAUGUGGCCGAAAUCGACUAGCCAAAAUUAAAUUAUCCGAAUUUUUCGGAUGACGGACUAUCUUCUCGAAGCAACACUCCAAUGAUAAUCUCACAAUUAUCAAAGCGAUAAAACGACAAGAGAUCCUUCGUAUUUCAAAAAAUCAUUAAUGUCCGCAGUC